rnacentral:rRNA from 1 species
GACGAACGCUGGCGGCGUGCCUAAUACAUGCAAGUAGAACGCUGACUACUUUAGCUUGCUAGAGUAGAAGGAGUUGCGAACGGGUGAGUAACGCGUAGGUAACCUGCCUACUAGCGGGGGAUAACUAUUGGAAACGAUAGCUAAUACCGCAUAACAGUGUUUACCACAUGUUAGAUGCUUGAAAGAUGCGAUUGCAUCACUAGUAGAUGGACCUGCGUUGUAUUAGCUAGUUGGUGGGGUAACGGCCCACCAAGGCGACGAUACAUAGCCGACCUGAGAGGGUGAUCGGCCACACUGGGACUGAGACACGGCCCAGACUCCUACGGGAGGCAGCAGUAGGGAAUCUUCGGCAAUGGGGGCAACCCUGACCGAGCAACGCCGCGUGAGUGAAGAAGGUUUUCGGAUCGUAAAGCUCUGUUGUAAGAGAAGAACGUGUGAGAGUGGAAAGUUCACACAGUGACGGUAACUUACCAGAAAGGGACGGCUAACUACGUGCCAGCCGCCGCAGUAA